rnacentral:rRNA from 1 species
CAUCUCGCCGGACCUGACUGCUAUCGGAUUGAUACUAAGCCAUGUGAGUCAUUGUAGCAAUACAAGGCAGACGGCUCAGUAACACGUAGCCAAUCUACCCUAUGGACGGGGAUAACCUCGGGAAACUGAGGAUAAACCCCGACAGAUCAUUAUGCCUGGAAUGGUUAAUGGUUCAAAUGAUUCGUCGCCGUAGGAUGGGACUGCGGCCUAUCAGCUUGUUGGUGAGGUAAUGGCCCACCAAGGCUAUUACAGGUACGGGCUCUGAGAGGAGAAGCCCGGAGAUGGGUACUGAGACACGGACCCAGGCCCUAUGGGGCGCAGCAGGCGAGAAACCUUUGCAAUGUGCGCAAGCACGACAAGGUUAAUCCGAGUGUUUCCUGCUAAAGGAAUCUUUUGUUAGUCCUAAAAACACUAGCGAAUAAGGGGUGGGCAAGUUCUGGUGU